GGUGAACGCUGGCGGCGUGCCUAAUACAUGCAAGUCGAGCGAACGGACGAGAAGCUUGCUUCUCUGAUGUUAGCGGCGGACGGGUGAGUAACACGUGGAUAACCUACCUAUAAGACUGGGAUAACUUCGGGAAACCGGAGCUAAUACCGGAUAAUAUUUUGAACCGCAUGGUUCAAAAGUGAAAGACGGUCUUGCUGUCACUUAUAGAUGGAUCCGCGCUGCAUUAGCUAGUUGGUAAGGUAACGGCUUACCAAGGCAACGAUGCAUAGCCGACCUGAGAGGGUGAUAGGCCACACUGGAACUGAGACACGGUCCAGACUCCUACGGGAGGCAGCAGUAGGGAAUCUUCCGCAAUGGGCGAAAGCCUGACGGAGCAACGCCGCGUGAGUGAUGAAGGUCUUCGGAUCGUAAAACUCUGUUAUUAGGGAAGAACAUAUGUGUAAGUAACUGUGCACAUCUUGACGGUACCUAAUCAGAAAGCCACGGCUAACUACGUG
rnacentral:rRNA from 1 species